rnacentral:rRNA from 1 species
AACGAACGCUGGCGGCAGGCCUAACACAUGCAAGUCGAGCGAGGACUUCGGUCCUAGCGGCGGACGGGUGAGUAACGCGUGGGAACGUGCCCCUUGGUACGGAAUGGCCCCGGGAAACUGGGAGUAAUACCGUAUGAGCUCUAGGGAGGAAAGAUUUAUCGCCAAGGGGUCGGCCCGCGUUGGAUUAGGUAGUUGGUGGGGUAAUGGCCUACCAAGCCGACGAUCCAUAGCUGGUUUGAGAGGAUGAUCAGCCAGACUGUGACUGAGACACGGCCCAGACGCCUACGGGAGGCAGCAGUGGAGAAUCUUAGACAAUGGGCGCAAGCCUGAUCUAGCCAUGCCGCGUGAGCGAUGAAGGCCUUAGGGUUGUAAAGCUCUUUCAGCUGGGAAGAUAAUGACUGUACCAGCAGAAGAAGCCCCGGCUAACUCCGUGCCAGCCGCCGCGGUAA